rnacentral:rRNA from 1 species
CCAGCAGCCGCGGUAAUUCCAGCUCCAAUAGCGUAUAUUAAAGUUGUUGCAGUUAAAAAGCUCGUAGUUGAAUUUUGGGUCAGACCGGUUGGUCCGCUGAACGGCGAGUACUGACUGGUUUGGCCUUCCUUCUGGCUAUCAGGUCUGCCUUUAAACGGGUGGGCCUGAGAACCAGGACUUUUACUUUGAAAAAAUUAGAGUGUUCAAAGCAAGCUUACGCUUGAAUACAUUAGCAUGGAAUAAUAAAAUAGGAUUUUGGUUCUAUUUUGUUGGUUUCUAGGACCAAGGUAAUGAUUAAUAGGGACAGUUGGGGACAUUAGUAUUUCAGUGCUAGAGGUGAAAUUCUUGGAUUUCUGAAAGACU